rnacentral:rRNA from 1 species
CUACCACAUCCAAGGAAGGCAGCAGGCGCGCAAAUUACCCACUCCCGGAACGGGGAGGUAGUGACGAAAAAUAACAAUACGGGACUCUUUUGAGACCCCGUAAUUGGAAUGAGUACACUCUAAAUCCUUUAACGAGGACCAAUCGGAGGGCAAACCUGGUGCCAGCAGCUGCGGUAAAUCCAGUUCCGAUAGCGUAUAUUAAAGUUGUUGCGGUUAAAAGGCUCGUAGUUGGAUCUCGGUUCCGGACGGGUGGUCCGCCUACCGGCGGUCACUGCCCGUCUGAACGCGCGGCGUCGGUUUCCCCUGAUGAUCUUCACCGGUUGUCUCGGGUGACCGGCAAGUUUACUUUGAAAAAAUUAGAGUGCUCAAAGCAGGCUCAACGCCUGGACAAUGGUGCAUGGAAUAAUGGAAUAGGACCUCGUUUCUAUUCUGUUGGUCUUCGGAACACGAGGUAAUGAUUAAGAGGGACAGACGGGGGCAUUCGUAUUGCGACGCUAGAGGUGAAAUUCUUGGACCGUCGCAGGACGAACUACUGCGAAAGCAUUUGCCAAGAAUGUUUCCAUUAAUCAAGAACGAAAGUUAGAUGACCGAAGGCGAUCAGAUACCGCCCUAGUUCUAACCGUAAACGAUGCCAGCUAGCGAUCCGGCUGUGUUCCUCAAAUGACACGCCGGGCAGCUUCCGGGAAACCAAAGCGUUUGGGUUCCGGGGGAAGUAUGGUU